GACGAACGCUGGCGGCGUGCCUAAUACAUGCAAGUCGAGCGGACUUUCAAGAAGCUUGCUUUUUGAAAGUUAGCGGCGGACGGGUGAGUAACACGUGGGCAACCUGCCUGCAAGACGGGGAUAACUCCGGGAAACCGGGGCUAAUACCGGAUAAUAUCUUCCUUCGCAUGAAGGAAGGUUGAAAGGCGGCGCAAGCUGCCGCUUGCAGAUGGGCCCGCGGCGCAUUAGCUAGUUGGUGAGGUAACGGCUCACCAAGGCGACGAUGCGUAGCCGACCUGAGAGGGGGAUCGGCCAAACUGGGACUGAGACACGGCCCAGACUCCUACGGGAGGCAGCAGUAGGGAAUCUUCCGCAAUGGACGAAAGUCUGACGGAGCAACGCCGCGUGAGCGAAGAAGGUCUUCGGAUCGUAAAGCUCGGUUGUCAGGGAAGAACAAGUACCGUUCGAACAGGGCGGUACCUUGACGGUACCUGACCAGAAAGCCACGGCUAACUACGUG
rnacentral:rRNA from 1 species